rnacentral:sRNA from 1 species
GCAGGUGACAUGGGCUGGUGAUGAAAUGUGUAGAAUUCUUUCCACAACCGCCUGAAGGCAGGGCCCAUGGCCUUCUCCUGACCGAAGACUCUGGGUUCAGCUUCAUGGCGGCUGAAGAGACGCAUUGGCCUGUCCCUAUGAAGGCCAUUGGUGCCCAGAAUCUGCUAACCAUGCCUGGGGGCGUGGCCAAGGCUGGCUACCUGCACAAGAAGGGCGGUACCCAGCUGCAGCUGCUGAAAUGGCCCCUGCGCUUUGUCAUCAUCCACAAACGCUGCGUCUACUACUUUAAGAGUAGCACCUCCGCCUCCCCGCAGGGCGCCUUCUCCCUGAGUGGCUAUAACCGGGUGAUGCGGGCAGCGGAGGAGACCACGUCCAACAACGUUUUCCCCUUCAAGAUCAUCCACAUCAGCAAGAAGCACCGCACGUGGUUCUUCUCGGCCUCCUCCGAGGACGAGCGCAAGGUGACUGGGGGUCCGAGGACGAGUGCAAGGUGACUGGGGGUGUGGGCCUGCA